GACUUUGGUUGUAAUCUUAUUUUUCUCUUACUUUGUUUGUUGUCAACAGGUGGCCAAGACUCCUGCCAAUCCUAAAUGCAGAAAAGGUAGCCAAGAAGAUUAUUCAUGCUGUCCUCACAGACCAAGUCUACCUUCUACUGCCUAAAAGCAUGUAUUUCAUCACUGCUCUGAAGAACAUCCUGCCCAUGAAGCAGGGCAUUCUGCUGGGUCAGUACCUGGGAGCCUUUAAUCUUAUGGACACGUUCAGGGGACGCUCCAAAAAGCAAGAGUGAGAGAGCUGUCAGUUAGAAGAUGAUUUAAAUGGAGAUAUUAAAACAUUGAAGACAUCUCUGUGAAGUUUCUUCAUAUUUAAUUUGAAAACAUUUAAUUGUACACAGAAAAUGAAUACCAGUUGUGUAAAGGACUACCUUUUAAAUAAAUUAAUGUUCAUUAUUUAGCUUAAUGUUUUGAGUUCCUUGAACAAAAAGUCUGUUGUUAUUGAAGUUAUAUGUCUGAUUUGUUUCUGAUUUAAGCACAAUGUUUUAUAUAAUAAUCUUGUUCUUACUGACAAUAUAUUAUGGUUAAUUUAGUUCCUUAUUCUAUAUCUUAAUUUUUUUUUCUUUGUGUGAACCUGCAUACCCUGAUCUCUUGUCACUUUGCUGCCGUUAUCCCUGACAACGCCUGUUGCUGCUCUGCAAGUAGAAAUGGAUGAGAUUAAUUUAUUUCUUGGAAAAGGUUUGUGAUGUGUUAGAUUUACCUGCAAGGAUUUACAGGAACAAAACCCGACUAUCGCAGUGUGUAUAUACAUACAACAGUGAAAGAUUUUGAGAAAGACUUGGAUGUUUUGGUUUAUUUUUGGGGGGGCUGUCAAAAUUAACUUGUUAAUCCUGCAUUAAUCCUGCAUUAAUUCUUUAAUCUUUUUUUUAGCAAUUAAUUGAACAGAUUCCCAAACUUUUUGGAUAUCAUCAGUUUGUAAUUUCUAUCUCUGUUUCAACUGUUUCUACAGGGGCUAAUCUCCUGUUUCUUACAAAGUUUAUCUCACUCCUGUCCUUCUUCUCUCUUCCCACUCUGUGCUUCUCUGGUGCUGCAGCACAGCAGGCACUCAGACCCCAGGGAGAACCUCAAAAUUAUUUUACUGUUGUUGACAACACAGCAUAGAGAAAUAUCAUUUUACAUAUGACUUCAUGACUGAAGCAACACUCAACUGCUAUAAACAAAUAAAAACAUGAGCAGUGAUAAACACAAAAGCAUCAAAAACAUUAAAAAUGUCACCAUGUUUAGCCUCGUACUGUUGAAUCCUAUUUUCAUCAUUUGGCAGCCCAAAUAAAAAUAUUUAUAACUCA